UACGUAGGGUGCAAGCGUUGUCCGGAAUUAUUGGGCGUAAAGAGCUCGUAGGCGGUCUGUCGCGUCGGCUGUGAAAACCCGGGGCUCAACCCCCGGGCCUGCAGUCGAUACGGGCAGACUAGAGUGCGGUAGGGGGAGACUGGAAUUCCUGGUGUAGCGGUGAAAUGCGCAGAUAUCAGGAGGAACACCGGUGGCGAAGGCGGGUCUCUGGGCCGUAACUGACGCUGAGGAGCGAAAAGCGUGGGGGAGCGAACAGG
rnacentral:rRNA from 1 species